rnacentral:rRNA from 1 species
GAUGAACGCUGGCGGCGUGCCUAAUACAUGCAAGUCGAGCGAACAGACGAGGAGCUUGCUCCUCUGACGUUAGCGGCGGACGGGUGAGUAACACGUGGAUAACCUACCUAUAAGACUGGGAUAACUUCGGGAAACCGGAGCUAAUACCGGAUAAUAUAUUGAACCGCAUGGUUCAAUAGUGAAAGACGGUUUUGCUGUCACUUAUAGAUGGAUCCGCGCCGCAUUAGCUAGUUGGUAAGGUAACGGCUUACCAAGGCAACGAUGCGUAGCCGACCGGAGAGGGUGAUCGGACACACUGGAACUGAGACACGGUCCAGACUCCUACGGGAGGCAGCAGUAGGGAAUCUUCCGCAAUGGGCGAAAGCCUGACGGAGCAACGCCGCGUGAGUGAUGAAGGUCUUCGGAUCGUAAAACUCUGUUAUUAGGGAAGAACAAAUGUGUAAGUAACUAUGCACGUCUUGACGGUACCUAAUCAGAAAGCCACGGCUAACUACGUG